rnacentral:rRNA from 1 species
AAUCUUCCACAAUGGGCGAAAGCCUGAUGGAGCAACGCCGCGUGAGUGAAGAAGGUUUUCGGAUCGUGAAACUCUGUUGUAAGGGAAGAACAAGUACAGUAGUAACUGGCUGUACCUUGACGGAACCUUAUUAGAAAGCCACGGCUAACUACUUUCCAGACGCCGCGGUAAUACGUAGGUGGCAAGCGGUGUCCGGAAUUCUUGGGCGUAAAGCGCGCCGAGGCGGUCCUUUAAGUCUGAUGUGAAAGCCCGCGGCUCAACCGUGGAGGGUCAUUGGAAACUGGGGGACUUGAGUGCAGAAGAGGAAAGUGGAAUUCCAAGUGUAGCGGUGAAAUGCGUAGAGAUUUGGAGGAACACCAGUGGCGAAGGCGACUUUCUGGUCUGUAACUGACGCUGAGGCGCGAAAGCGUGGGGAGCAAACA